rnacentral:rRNA from 1 species
CCAUAGCUAGACGUGGUACGGCCACGUGCGAUGAUGGUAGCCGCCUGAGAGGGUGACGGCACAUUGGAACUGAGACACGGUCCAGACUCCUACGGRRGCAGCAGCUAGAAUYUUCGCAAUGGGCGAAAGCCUGACGGAGSSGACGCCGCGKGAACGAAGAAGGCCGKGAGGUKGUAAAGUUCUUUUCGGGAGGGGGAACGAGGCUGCCAGGCAAUGGGCGGCCGAUGACGUGAAUCCCGGAAUAAGCCCCGGCUAACUACGUGCCAGCAGCCGCGGUAACACGUAGGGGGCGAGCGUUGUUCGGAAUCAUUGGGCGUAAAGGGCGUGCAGGCGGCCGCCAAAGUCCGGCGUGAAAGACCCAGGCUCAACCUGGGGGGUGCGCCGGAUACUGGGCGGCUUGAGUACAGGAGGGGACGGCGGAAUUCCAGGUGUAGGGRWGAAAUCWGWAGAUAUCUGGAGGAACACCGAUGGCGAAGGCAGCCGUCUGGCCAUGUACUGACGCUGAGGCGCGAAGGUGCGGGGAGCAAACAGGUUUAGAUACCCUGGUAGUCCGCACAGUAAACGAUGUGCACCAGGCGGCGGGGGCAACCUCGCUGCCGCAGUCAACGCAUUAAGUGCACCGCCUGGGGAGUAUGCCCGCAAGGGUGAAACUCAAAGGAAUUGACGG